UGCAUUCACUACUGUAAGUCGCUCUGGAUAAGAGUGUCUGCUAAAUGACAUAAA
rfam:Salmo salar isolate Sally breed double haploid chromosome ssa13, whole genome shotgun sequence.